rnacentral:rRNA from 1 species
AACUCUCAACAACGGAUAUCUUGGCUCUCGCAUCGAUAAGAACGCAGCUAGGCAUCGAUGAAGAACGCAGCGAAAUGCGAUACGUAGUGUGAAUUGCAGAAUUCCGUGAGUCAUCGAAUCUUUGAACGCACAUUGCCGGUCGACUCUUCGGAGGAGACCACAUCUGCCUCAGCGUCGGGAUA